UACGUAGGCAGCGAGCGUUGUUCGGAGUUACUGGGCGUAAAGGGUGCGUAGGCGGUUGUUUAAGUCUGUCGUGAAAUCCCCGGGCUCAACCUGGGAAUGGCGAUGGAUACUGGGCAGCUAGAGUGUGUCAGAGGAUGGUGGAAUUCCCGGUGUAGCGGUGAAAUGCGUAGAGAUCGGGAGGAACAUCAGUGGCGAAGGCGGCCAUCUGGGACAACACUGACGCUGAAGCACGAAAGCGUGGGGAGCAAACAGG
rnacentral:rRNA from 1 species